rnacentral:rRNA from 1 species
UUAACCUCAAAUCAGGUAGGAUUACCCGCUGAACUUAAGCAUAUCAAUAAGCGGAGGAAAAGAAACUAACAAGGAUUCCCCUAGUAACUGCGAGUGAAGCGGGAAGAGCUCAAAUUUAAAAUCUGGCAGUUCUCUGAGCUGUCCGAGUUGUAAUCUAGAGAAGUGCUUUCCGUGCUGGACCGUGUACAAGUCUCUUGGAAUGGAGCGUCAUAGAGGGUGAGAAUCCCGUCUUUGACACGGACUACCAGUGCUUUUGUGAUGCACUCUCGAAGAGUCGAGUUGUUUGGGAAUGCAGCUCAAAAUGGGUGGUAAAUUCCAUCUAAAGCUAAAUAUAGGCGAGAGACCGAUAGCGAACAAGUACCGUGAGGGAAAGAUGAAAAGAACUUUGAAAAGAGAGUUAAACAGUACGUGAAAUUGUUGAAAGGGAAACGCUUCAAGUCAGUCGCGUUGGCUGGUAAUCAACCGUUGCAAAUCUUGCUGGGUUUAUUUUCCAGUUGAUGGGUCAGCAUCAAUUUUGACCGUCAGAGAAAGGCGUGGGGAAUGUGGCAUCUUCGGAUGUGUUAUAGCCCCUUGUCACAUGUGAUGGUUGGGAUUGAGGAACUCAGCA